AGCCUAUAUAUAAUACAUCACUGCACAGCUUCAUAUAUAUAAACUCUAUAAAGCUAGAAAUUGCCAGAAGUCACUACCAGCUUCACUAUAUGGACAAGACUAGUAAUUAUUUCCCCUUAUUUCAUGAUGGACGAAUGUAGUGCGAGUUAUAAAUAGACAAUUUUUCCCUUAAUUUUUUUCUCCCCUCUUCCUGCAUUUUUAGGUUGACUUUUUGGUCUAGAAUUGGAGAAAAGGGAUCAAAUUUGCAAUUUCAUAGCAGUUUUGGGUAAUACUGAUGAUAUUACAGCGGAGGGAUAGGGGGUGUAAAGUGUCUUUCUGCAGAGCAAUCAUUGUGUCGGAAGUGAGAUUUUCACCACUGUCAACUUCAAAUCCGUGUAGCAAAAAAUCUAAACGGUCAACCCCCUACAAAAUUAUGAUGAGGAGAUUGCCAAAUGCUGUCCCCAUUGUGCCUAUAAAGAUUGGAACCAACGGAAUGUUGAGCAAAAAGCUACAGCCUGUGAUGUUACAGUCAUUUAACAUUGAGGUCAAUGGACAAAUAAUUGCUAGUCUGAGUCCUGAUGAUAUAAAGAAGCAUGGCCGACUCGGGAUGUUGAUAUUUUUUCAACGGCUUAUUUCCUGAAGUUUUGAAUGGAAAGUGUCAGAAAUGGUGCCAGGGUAAUGUUUCAUAGAGUGGAAUGAUUGACCUCAACACAAGUAUUAAAAAAAAAAGAAGCAAAACAGGUCUACAUCUCAAAACCUGAUGUCUUCCUGGACUGGCUUUAGGAGAACGAUGAUGCAUAUCAAUUUCAUCCCUGAUCUCUAUGACACCUGUGGUGGAAGUGGAGGGCAAAUCGUAAUCAGUUUGGGUUCCAGCCCCGAGGACCUCUGUAAACUUUGCUUUUUGGUGAUGACUUAAUUUCUGAGCUUGAAAAGGACGCUUGUGUGUUUAUCAUGGCCUCUCAUAUUGGAAGAUAACAUUAAUGGCUUGUGUGUUGAUCGACGGUUGUGCAUAUCUCUUGGUCAGGAAAGUUGUAGGCACCAUCGCCAUUGUAAAUCAUUUGACAGGCCUGAGUGAACAGGGCGACCUAUGAUUGGUCAGCAAUGUACCAGAUUCCAUACUGGGGGGUGGGGAUGAAAAAACUGUUGUGGUGUUACAUAAUCAGAUUAUUUCAACUUACUUAUCCUGUGGAAAUACAGCUAUAUAGGAGGUAUUUUGAAAUUCAUAGGCACUACAUGUUUCAACAUCUUAGAUUUGACCACAAUUUGGCACUUGAAACUAUGUUAACAGAGAAAAACUGUGUGGUUUUCGAUGAAAGUGUUAAAAGUCUAAUAUUGCAUCAUGAUUACUGUUUUAAAGUAUUUUUGUGUUUGAUUUAUAUUUAAUUCAUCUCAUCUUUUUGAAGAAUGCAUUUAUGUUCAAAAAUAAAAAAUGUUCUGUGGAAUUCAAAAUUCAUGUGCUUUUAAAUUAUCAGAUUCCAACCUGGGGGGUGGGGAUGAAAUGUUUCAACAUUUUAGAUUUGACCACAAUUUGGCACUUGAAAUUAAGAUAACAGAGAAAAACUGUGUGGUUUUCGAUGAAAGUGUUAAAAAGUCUAAUAUUGCAUCAUGAUUACUGUUUUAAAGUAUUUUCGUGUUUGAUUUAUAUUGAAUUUAUCUCAUCUUUUUACAGAAUGCAUUUAUGUUCAAAAAUAAAAAUGUUCUGUUUAA